GCAGAGGCGGCAGCCAGCUCGUCAGUGACUUCCGGGACGUCCCCCAUCCCGCGCUCCCUGCUCCUCAGGCCCAGCUUGCUCCUUGCUCCUUUCUCCUCGCUCCUCCGACGCACAUCAGACCACUGGAAGGGGCCAUUCUACAAGGAGUUGUUGAGCACCUGCUAUCUAUCUACAGAAAUCUUGAAAUGUGGAACAGAGAUGGAAAUAUAGCAUGCAAGUCAGAAUGAAUUGCCAAACAAUGACAGAAGGCUGCUCUGAAAUGAUCAAAAUUUUCUCCUGGGACCUCACACCAAAGGAAUAUAAUAGGCAUUCAUUUCUAAGACAAUGCAGAUGAAGAAAUAAGAAUGUGGAAGCAUAAUCAUUUGUCCGAGGUCACAGAGGGAGAUGAUUACACAGCUGGAAUAAACUCUCCUCCUUCAAUACCUGACUACUUGCACCAUCCAGCAGAUAUCCUCUACUACCAAGUCUCAACAGAUGGUUCAGCUGGUCUUUAAUGAACAAAAGGCAACCUAAUGUGUAAUGGACUAUUAUUGCUCAAGAAGAAUUUCUUCCUUCCUGAAACAUGAGGAGAAACUGACAAAAACUGUCUCCUUGACCAAACCCCAGUCAGUUGCCUAUAAGCCCUCUAGGCUGUGACCUUAGUGUUUAUCCUUAUCAGACACGCAUUACACAACCAUAGCAACAGUCUUGCUAAGUUGGUUUAACCAGAACCCCUACCCUUGAUAUCUGAUUUAAUUUAUAAUUCCCCUGAGUCCCCGAGGUGACAUCCAUUCAUCCUGGCCAGCUUUCAAUAAGAAUCCUAUUGGGUUAUUUAGCUAGAAAUCACCCCUUACACUUAAUGCUUCCUUUUAGUAAUUUUGCAUCCACUAACCCCGACCUUGCUCCUUGGCUAUAAAUCCACAAGUUGUCCGUGUUGUAUUUGGAAUUGAUUACAAUUCUAUAUUGAGGUCUCUUUUCCCAUAUUGCAAUAGCUCCUGAUUAAAAUCUGCUUUUGCCCAUUGAUAUGGUUUGGCUGUGUCCCCACUCAAAUCUCAUCUUGAAUUGUAGCUCCCAUGAUUCCCAUAAUUGAAUCAUGGCAGCAGUUUACCCCAUACUGCUCUUGUGGUAGUGAUUAAGUCUCAUGAGAUCUGAUGGUUUUAUAAGGGGUUUCCACUUUCACUUGAUUCUGAUUCUCUUUUGUUUGCCGCUAUGUAAGACAUGCCUUUCACCUUCUGCCAUAAUUGUGAAGCCUCCCCAGCCACAUGGAACUGUGAGUCCGUUAAACCUCAUUUUCUUUAUAUAUAAAUUACCCAGUCUCAGGUAUGUCUUUAUCAGCAGUGUGAAAAUGGACUAAUAUACCCCUUUAACUGUAUAGCUCUGGUGUUCUUUGAUGAGCUAGAAACUGUAAAUUUCUGGAAGUCAAAUCUUCAUUUGAACUGGUUGUUAUAUAUUAUUGAUUCUCUCAAUUAUUUAGUUAAAUAAAAGUCUUGACAUGUUAAA